rnacentral:rRNA from 1 species
UACGGAGGGUGCAAGCGUUACUCGGAAUUACUGGGCGUAAAGAGCGCGUAGGCGGGGUGAUAAGUCAGGGGUGAAAUCCUGUAGCUUAACUACAGAAAUGCACCUGAAACUGUUAGUCUAGAGUGUGGGAGAGGAAGGUGGAAUUCUUGGUGUAGGGGUAAAAUCCGUAGAGAUCAAGAGGAAUACUAGUUGCGAAGGCGGCCUGCUAGACCAUUACUGACGCUGAUGCGCGAAAGCGUGGGUAGCAAACAGG